GUCAAGGACGGGUGUAGGGAGAAAGGUGGCGGGGAGAAGGCGGUGGGGGACAUUGGGGAGGUCGAGGGAGCGGAGAGGGAUUUCUUAUGGAGGGCGAUUGAGCGAGUCGGGGCCCGGGGAGCGCGGAGGAAGGCGGGAAGGGAGGCAAGGAAAGGCUACUUUGAAAUGAUGAUACGGGCGGUAGGCCUCUGCGGCGAGUAGGCCGUAGAGUAUAAUUUUUGCUCAAAUGGUGUAACUUUCGUUAAAAAAUGCAUCUUCAUUGAGUACAAUUUUCGUCUCAAAGAGUGCAAUAUUCGUUUAAACAGUGUAAUUUUUUUGAAACGGUGCAAUUUUAUCUGAACGAUAUGACUUCAUCUUCUUCUUCAUUUCUCUCUGGUUAUUGAUCUUUUCUGUAGCAGCGACGAUAUAUAAUGAUCUUUUAAUAAAAAGUAGAAAAAAUAUUUUUAAUAUUUUAUUUUUUUUUACCCUCUGCAUCUUUUUCUGCUUCUUGGAGGAGCACGGACACAUCUUCAUCCUCACCCUCACUAAUGUCAACGAGCACUGCUUCGACCAUGACCUUAUUGCCUUCGUUCGCUUCGCCCUUACCCGCGUCCGCU
rnacentral:lncRNA from 1 species